GACAAUAACGAUGGAACCUGCAGCUGUGGGUUAGCGAUGCUGCCCGCUGUCGAUAAUGAAGUAGAACCCUGGAAUUUAGUUUGUUUCCACAGUCCUCCAGCAAGGGGCAGUACACGUGCCGAGUCAGGGAGCCUCCAUACAGUGAGAGGAAGAGAAGACGAGCUGCGUGUCUCCUGAUUGGACAGCUGAUCAUCUCUAUCAGACUGAGACAUGGUGUUACAGCAACAGUCCGAGCUGAUGAGUCUGAAGAAAAAGGCUGGAUAUUGUGUGGAUUUAUGAGGAGCUAACGCAGUUUAGAGCCUGAGCUCUGUAGAAGUUUUGUAAUGGAGGUUGGCUUGUGCUCUGUGAGAGAAACUCCACACACUCCUGCUGCUCAUCACUUACAGCUUUCUGAAGAUGUGCACACUGAGGAUUUUCUCACUUCUGCUGAAGGAACAGCCACCAUCACUGUGGACCAUCAGGAUUUCCUGAAAAAUCCUCUAAAACAGGAAGUGUCUGAAGAUGAUGGCUUUCCAUAUGAAGGAACAUCAAACUCUGUGAGCUGUGUUACUCCUAGUGAUCCGCUGGAUGAAGGAUUCCAGAUGCAGCAACCAAAAAAAGAGGAACCCGAAGAUGAUGAAUACCUCUACUGUGAGGACUGCAGAUCGUUCUUCAUCAACAAAUGUGAGGUUCAUGGUCCAGCUCUCUUCAUCCCUGAUACCCCUGUUCCCCUGGGAGUCCCUGACCGAGCCAGGCAGACACUGCCACCUGGUCUGGUGGUUCAGGAGUCCAGUAUUCCUGAUGCAGGACUGGGAGUGUUUAAUAUGGGAGAGACUGUUCCAGUUGGUGUGCACUUUGGGCCUUAUCAGGGAGAUGUAGUAGACUGUGAGGAAGCUAUGAACAGUGGCUACUCCUGGGUGAUCUACAGGGAGGAGCAGUGUGAACAGUACAUCGAUGGCAGGAGAGAGAUGCAUGCUAACUGGAUGAGGUUCGUGAAUUGUUCGUGUGAUAAUGAGCAGAAGAACCUUGUGGCGUUUCAGUACCAUGGUGGGAUUUUCUUCCGUUGCUGUCGACCCAUUAGACCAGGACAGGAGCUCUUGGUGUGGUACACAAAGGAGUACGCCAAAAAUCUCAGCAUUGCAUUCGGCUACAUCUGGAAGAAAAAGUGCUCUGCAAAUGAAAUAGAUAUUGAAUCAAACCAGUGGAUCUACACACAAGAUAAACCGCAUCAGUGCUUACAGUGUGGUAAGAGAUUUACUGAGAGAGGUACUCUGGACAAACACUAUCGUAUCCACACUGGGGAGAAGCCAUAUCACUGCUCAGACUGUGGAAAGAGUUUUACACAGCAGAGUACUCUCCAACGACAUCAGCGCAUCCAUACUGGAGAGAAACCGUAUUUAUGCUCGCACUGUGGAGACAAAUUUUCUAACCAGAGUAAUCUCCAAAGACACCAACGUGUCCACACCGGAGAGAAACCGUUUCAUUGCUCACUGUGUGGAAAGAAUUUUACACAACGGAGUACUCUCCAACGACACCAGCGCAUUCACACUGGGGAGAAACCGUAUCAGUGUCCUCAUUGUGUGGAGAGGUUUACUCACCAGAGCCUCCUCCAGUCACACCAACGCCUUCACACUGGAGAAAAGCCAUUUCACUGUCCAUUGUGUGGAAAGAGUUUUACUGAGAGAGGUGCUCUCAAGAAACACCAACGCAUUCACACAGGAGAGAAGCCAUAUCAUUGUCCAGAGUGUGGGAAGAAUUUUACUGAGAAAAGUGCUUUAAAAAAGCACCAGCGCAUUCACACAGGAGAGAAACCGUAUUACUGCUCACAGUGUGGACGGAGCUUCACUUUCUCAAGUUCUUUUAGUACACACAAGUGCACACACUCAGAGCUGGCAGCUUGCAACGUUUAGAUUUUUCUUUUUUUCAAACUAUAAACACGUAUAUGUUUUUUUACUUUUGUGCAAUUUUGCUGUUUCCCACUCCUUCCCUACACAACCCUUUUCCCUAUGGUGUGCUGCACUAUUAUGGGAAAGGUAAGCUAUGGUCCUACUAGAAGUACUUCUGUCUUUUCUGAAAUUAGUCAAAGCAAGUUACCCAACAUCUGGUGUCUAAUGCCCUUUACACAUUCCUCAAUAAUUUAGCUGAUGUUUGUCAUCUGGCUUUGCUGAAACAUAUAGCUGUGUGUCAACAACAUAGUUGUUGGUAGCUAAAACCAUGUUUAAUAAUAAUUGUACCCAGUGGUACCAUAUGCAGAUAAAAGAACAGUAGGCCUAGAACAGAGCCUUGUUAAGCAACCAUACAUUACUUUCAUACUCAAAGGGAAGUCACCGUUACAUGUAGAAAAUUAUAACAGUACAUCAAAUAGCAUAUGAGCCAGGAAAGAGCCAUUCUGUUAACCACUAUUACUUUACUAGUCCGUCUAGAAGAAUAUUGAGAUCUAUGGUAUCAAAAGCUUUACUAAGAUUGAGCAGCACACCCCUUAUCAGUGGCCAACAACUUUGGGCAGUAUUUGAUGAUUUACUACUUUAACCAAUGCUGUCUCAGUUCUGUGAUGAAACUUAAAUCUUGACCAAAAGAGGCCAUUUGCAUUUGUAAAUCUCUAACAGGCAGAUCUCUGAAGUUCAAAUGCACCAGUAUCGACUAUCAACACCACUGACUUAUCAGAGAGGCAGGAAGAAACUUUACCUUAGUCCUUUCACUGACUGUUUUACCUAAAUCAAGUGGGUUUAAAACCAGCUACAAGUGCAAUUUUUAUAUCAUGUAAGUUUGGGAUAUUUGUUACAAAGGAUAUUUUGUACGUUUCUGUGCAUGUCCUUUUCAUUGUGACACGUCUUUAUAUCCUUUAACCAGAAUAUACAUGUAACAUACUGGGGUGGUGGUAUCUCAAGUGAUCAGGGUUCAAGCCCCAGCACUGCCAAUCUGCCAACAUUAGGCCCUUAAGCAAGGUCCCCAACCCACCCCUGCUCCAGGUGCCCUACAUCAUGGCUGACCCUGCUUAACCCUGCUGAACCCCCAACCCCAAAGGAUGGGAUAUGUGAAGAAAGAAUUUCACUGUGCAGUAAUGUAUCUAUGACAAAUAAAGACAACUUAACAUACUUCCAUGGAAAAGAGAUGUAUUUUAACUCAGGGUCUUUGUUUUCUGUGACUGAUGACACAGUGUGUAACUGACAUACUGAGUUACAUUUUUAAUAGUCCUUGAUUAUUAUUGAUAAAGCACAUACACAUUACAAAGUCACAUUUCUCCCUUUCUAACCGCUAGAAACCUGGGUGAGGUUCUAUUUGUUUGUUUAACCAGGAGGCAGAUAUGGCUUAGCUGAAAUUGUUUAUUCUAAAACUUAGGCCACUCUGUGCAGAAGCCCAUAUCCUCCAACUGAGACCUUCUUAUAACCCAUUGAGUGAUUUCUGUGUCUAGGAGGUUUUUCCAGGCUUAUAAUCCACUGAACCACCAUGCUUAACUCCAGCCUCAUUAACAAGAAGUCUGGAUCAGCAUCUGACUGGACAGCAGGACUGGCUCAUGUGAGCCAAGAAAGUCCCCACCCUCCUUGAACACAUUAAGUGGUCAAGAAGUGCAAACCAGAAUAACAGCCAAUAACACAAUGACAAUUCAGACAAACUGGAAAAGAUGUAAAUGAUACCAUUUCAGAUGGAGGUACAUCAAGCUCUAUGAGCUGCAUCACCCUGGAUGACCUGCAGAAUGGAGAAUUUCAGAUGAAGCCUCUAAAAAAGGAGGAAGCUGAAGAUGAUGACUACCUCUCUAAGUCCAACUGUGAGGAUUGUAGAUGAUAUCCUGAUAACCCUGUUCCUCUGGGAGUCCCUGACCAAGCCAGCACUUCCACCUGGUCUGGUGGUUCAGGAGUCCAGUAUUCCUGAUGCAAGACUGGGAGAGACUGUUCCAAAAAAUUUUGUUAAGGUGCUUGUGGACCAUUUUUGCUACUUUCCAUGCGAAAAGGGUGUUUAUAUUGCUAGCUGUGUCAAACAUCAUGAUUUUCUUGGCAUAAUAUCUUAGUAUGCGCUCAGUUUCCACCUCUGGUCACCCAGAAUACACAACGCUACGAUUACAUUAUGUAUAGGUUUGGUUUCAUUAUAUUAUGUGUUACUAUUUUUUCCCCAUUUUUAUAAGAUUCCUUUUUAUGCUCUAGAAGGAAAGAGUGCCACUUGUGUCCAUUUUUUUUUUUUUUUUUUUAUAAAUCUCAAAUUUACCUUUACCAAACCACCAAGAGACACAAUAAUGAGGAGUAUGUGAGAAAGCUGAACUCAGAAGGAAAAUACUUGUGAACUCAUUAGACAAAUACUACUUUGAAAUCAGGCAGCUCCAGGUGUCAAAACUGCACCCGAUUCCAAGAUCUCUCAUGAACAAAUGAAAAAAAAAAGAAUGAACUGCCUGGACUUUUACUCGACAGAGUAAUCUCAUACUGCAUCAAUGCAUUCAUACUGGAGGAAAAGCCUUUUACUACACACAGUGUGGAGAGAGAUUUACUGAUCAUCAUAACUUACCAACGCAUUCACACAGGAGAGAAGCCAUAUUUCUGCUCCCAAUGUGGGAAGAGCUUUUACCCAUCAAAGUAGUUUCCAAAAACACAGCCGUAUUCACAAAGGAGAGAAACCGCAUCUCUGUUUACGGUGUGGGACGAGCUGCGGGAUCUCGAAAAACACUCGAGCAUUCACAUGAGAGAGAAGCCAGUUCUCUGCUCAGAAUGUGGGAAGAAUUUUACUCACCAGUGUAAUCUCCAAAUACAGCAGAGCGUUCACACAGGAGAGAAGCCAUAUCACUGCUCAGAGUGGUGCACUUUAAAACACACCAGAACAUUCACACUGAUUAGAAAUUGUAUACUUGCUUGCAGUUUGGCCGGAGAUUCACUUUCUUGAGCUCUUUCAGGACACACAAGUGCACAAACAUAGACAAGUUGUUAUUGGGUUGGAAGGAUGGAAGAGACUUAUAGAAGUGCUUCGUAGUGUCCAUGUAAAAUCGAUCCUCAUGCUUAUAUGAUUAGAUCAAGGUCUAAGAAUGCCAUUCAGCUAUAACCCUGUUAGAGAGGAGUUAGUAUGAGGUUGGUUUAGCACAAAUAAAGUCAGACUUUGUUAAGAAGAAGGUCCUUGUUUGGAGACAGACAGCCACAGUAAGUUCAGACCACUACCUGGGUGCAGUUCAGAGGAGGGUCUUGUAGCAUGUCCUCCUUGUACCAUGAGAAACGGUGAAUCCAGUGAAGUUGUGCUAGAGGCUGGAAGGUAUAAGUAUCUUCAGUAGGUGUGGCUUAUUUUAUAACAGCAUAGCAGUAAUAUGAAAUCCCCUAAAGAUAUGAUUCCCUCAUUAAGAGAGCAGGUAUAGAGGGAAAGCAGAAGAGGGCCCUGUACUAUACCUUGUGGGACACCUUCUCCUCCAUGUUCCCUGAAAUGAUAAUUCCUCCACUUGGACACAACCCACCACCAUGGUGUGCAGUGAAGGCUUUUGAGAAUAGACAGUCUUGUUUUGACAUUGAUUGUGUCAAAGGCUGCUGACAGCCCAAAGAGGAUGAGUGUGGAUGAAACAGUUUGACUGAUCUAGUGGAAUAAAUCUUCUCAAUAACAGCCACAGGGGCCAAAUCUUCUGUGAGGAAAUAAUGACAGUGAGGUCUUGCAAUAUGUAAGGGAUGGGAUGCAGUUGACAGGUGGAAGUAUUGUACUGGACAAGAAAAGUUGCUGGAUUUAUUCUGUAGAAAAUAAAAAAGAAGUUUUAGAUAUAUGGGAGGGAAGAGAUUUUCCCUUGUCUAUUUCGAACCAAUCCCUCUUCCUUUCCUUCUUCCAUAACAUUUUUCAUAUAGAAAUCUCAAUGCCAGUCCUUCCUCCCACUACCUUGCUCAUUGCUGCAUCACUAUGCUCAUUCCAACACUGUACUGCCCAAGAACAAAAAGAUUUUGCAAGUUUGACCAAUUGAUCUGCCUUUUUUGGAUUAAAUUACUUGCACAAUUGAGUGUACUACUGAAUAUUAGAGACACAUUAGCAUCUGACUAGCAUUCUAAUAUUUGUAAGUCCCAGAAUUUUUUAAAGGGACUUAGCACAAGGCAAAGGAAGGGAGAACAAGUGGCAGAAGCAGCUUGGCUUACUACAGAAGGUAAAAGAGUUCAGCUGUAUGUCUGGGAAUAUUUCUACUCAGCAUCUCAAUAAUCAGCAGUUUUGAUGAGCUUCAUCAUUUAAUAUUCAAGAUGCAAAGUAACAGCCGAGUUCUGUGUUUGCAGAUAUACACCAAUCAGGUAUAACAUUAUGACCACUGACAGGUGGAGUGAAUAAGACUCCUCAUCAUGGUACCUGUUAGUGGGUGGGAUAUAUUAAGCAGCAAGUGAACAUUUUGUCCUCAAAGUUGAUGUGUUAGAAGCAGGAAAAAUGGACAAGCGUAAGGAUUUGAGCGAGUUUGACAAAGGGCCAAAUUGUGAUGUCUAGACGACUGGAUCAGAGCAUCUCCAAAACUGCAGCUCUUGUGUGGUGUUCCCGGUCUGCAGUGGUCAGUAUCUAUCCUUUAAGUUUUAUAAGUACUUUAAGUCCUGUAAGUAUCAUUUAAGUCCUGUAAGUUUCGAAGUGGGGCCCAUAGAGGUCCCACCUCGUAACUUACAUGACUUAGAGGAUCUGCUGUUAACAGCUUGGUGCCAGAUACCACAGCACACCUUCAGGGAUCUAGUGGAGUCCAUGCCUCGAUGGGUCAGGGCUGUUUUGUCAGCAAAAAGGGGACCGACACAAUAUUAGGCAUGUGGUCAUAAUGUUAUGCCUGGUUGGUGUAUUUAAUAAAUCUGUGAAUCAUUCCACUGUCCCUGUCUGUUUCAAGUCAUCAGUCAAUGGAUCAGUAGAUGACCCACCGAAUAAACACACGGCUAGACUGCCAGCAUCCUCACAGCUUAUGUGGGAAUCCUGUUUAUAGGACAGUCAUCCUAGACAUACUGAACAAUUCACUCACCAAAUUUAUGUCACCGGGCAAUUUCAGACCCUCUAACCCUCAGUGCAGGUAUACGUCAGGGCUGAGUGCUCACUCAUACUUUUCUUUAUGUACACAAACAACUUCAGUGUCCUCUCUGUCAGAGUCAAGUUCACAGGUGAUAAUGUUUUGAAAGGACUGGUAUUCAACAACAUUUGCUAGCAGAUUUUUUUAAUUAAAAAGAUGAUCGUGGACCAAAUAAAACACCCACCCACAUUUUCCAUUGAAAUCAUGCAUGCCACACUGUCUUGCCUGUCCGACUAGUCCAGUUUUACAAAGCCAUCAAGUAGUCAAGUCUAAGACCUUGCAUACCUUUCAGCGCUGAUUUAUUUCAGAAGGAGCUCCUUUCCUGUUCAUCUGCAUGAAUAGUUGUCUGUCUCCAGUGUGUCUAUAGUUCUAGCUCAGACCUGUAUGAUUCCAGGAGAAGGAUGUGUACAAGGAAACAUCAUUGCAGAAACAUUCCAUCCACAGCAUUACAUAACCAUUCAGAAACAUUUUCCCAGUUUGCAGGAGAGGGUUUUUAAAAAUGUUUUGCUGUUUUGAACUGAAAUACGGACAAACAAAGCUAAAAUGAAAAUAUAAAAGCCUUUCCCAAACAAUAUACACUUCCUUUAAAUUAGCUAGAACAUUCUUGAACAGCAGAGAUUGUCAGUAAGUAUUAAAAUAAAAAUUAUUAUCACAAAUCAGGUUUAUAUUCAUUAGGAUUAAAUAUAGUAUAUGAAUAUAGCACGUAAUGUGUGUGUGUGUGUGUGUGUGUGUGUGUGAGAGAGAGAGAGAGAGAGAGAGAGGGUUUGGUCAUAAGUCUUGUAUUUUGCAGUUUUAUUUGUGGCUAACCAGAGAGUGUUUCACAUCCCGAGUCAGAUUUAUGACAAAAAAAAAAAUCUGUUUUAAAUUCUUUUAUAAACCCCAAAACAGGAUUAUUGUUGAUCCUCUGGAAGAAAUCUCACACUGCAGGGGAAAAAUGUGUCUGAAACAUCAGGCUAAAAUGAAUUAUGCCAACAAAAAAAAGCUUCUUUAGAAACAAUCAUGCAAGAAUUUGCCACAAAACCAGCACAUCUUUGAAUACGGACACAUCUUUUGUAAUGGUUCAAGAAAUAAAUCAUUGUAUAAAAUACUGAAAAUAGCAGACUAUGAAAUUUCCACAUUGGAGACGAAUUGAAAGUUCCAGCCUGAUUUAAAUCGAUGCCACAUUUCAGGUCGGAAUCCCAGAGAACGGCAGCCAAAAGGAAACCAGUCAUGCUGUUUAGCAUGAAAUCUAACAAUAGUACAUUAAACAAAAACAACACAAAACUAUGAAAUACUAAUUUUUUAAAAUUCAGAUCGGUUUCUUUAGGAAGUAGAGUCAUUUGUAAAAUGAUGGCAGUGUUUGAGGGUUUCGACAAUAUUGAUCUAUUUGGUCAGAAAUACAUGCAAACCAAAUGAACAGCACCGCAAAUCAACACGCUUCAGCUGGGAUGAGAAUGAGACACUACUCAUUUUUAUUAUCUUUACUUUAAACAUGUGAAUGCAUAUAUACUAGCCUAAAAUAGUGUGUGUGUGCAUUUGGAAGAGACUCCGUAGUUUUCUAACCUUACUGAGAGAUGUGAUUUCUUUCUGUGGGCUGUUCAUGUAUUGAAACCAAUAUUAAAUAACAUCUCUCUUGCUGUCUCUCUCUCGCUGUCUCUCUGUCUCUCUCUUGCUCUCUCUCUCUCUCUCUCUCUCUUUGUCUCUCACACACAAACACACACACGCACACACUACACUACACAUAUACCAUGAGGAACGGAUGAGUGGAGGAACGUCAGCAAGAUCAUUCCAAGAGAUUUGAUUUAAUACUUAACAGUUCAAUGAGCUGGAGCUAAACUUUUACACACACAUACGCACAGCCGACAGUCUGGCUUGAGUUCACGUGAAGAAUUUGGGAAGUGAACACACCCACUGUGGAGUGAGUUAUGAUGUGAACUGUGUGUGUGUGUGUGUGUGAGAGAGAGAGCGAGAGAGAGAGAAAGAGAGAUCAUGAUCUUCAGAUCAGCUAUUAAUGAUAACUAUGAAACAGGAAGUGGUGCAGGAAGUCAUUUUAGGACUCAUAUUGUAUCAUUUCAUAUAACAGCACUGUGAAUGUGGAAAGUGUGUGUGUGUGUGAGAGAGAGAAAGUGAGAGUGAUUAAUGAACAGCAGAUGGAGUUUUAUUGUACCAGGAAUUGUGCAAUAUCUCAUUAUUCAUUUUUCAUUCUGCACUGUGCUGAACAAUUCAGCUUCUUUUCCAGCAUCUAUAAAGUGUGUAAAAUAUCCGAUAUGUGUGUCGGGUUCCAAACAGAGAACUGAUCCCAAGUCUGUGUAGACAGCAGUUACACUUCACAGUCUGUCCACUCUGAGCUCCUUAUUUAGGCCACAUUGGAUGUUAGCAUCAUAUGAACAACUAUCCCACGAUUCUGUUCAUCACAACUGAAUGAAAAUAAAAUUUCUACAAAGAAACCAGAGAUGUGAAUGUAAGUGAACUUUCCAAGGAGUCAUUUACUAAUGUAAAUGAAUCAGUAGAGGAUUCUUUUACGUUAUAGAUUUAAGUGAAUCAGCCCAGGAGUCAUUUACUAAUGUAAAUGAACAAGUAGAGGAGUCUUUUACAUUACAGAUGUAAGUGUAUGAGUCCAGGAAUCUUUUACGAAUGUAAAUAAAUCAGUAGAGGAGUCAUUUACAUUACAUAUGUAAGUGAAUCAGUCCAGGAGCCAUUUCCUAAUGUAAAUGAAUCAGUUGAGGAGUCAUUUACUUUACAUAUGUAAAUGAAUCAGUCCAGGAUUCAUUUACUAACGUAAAUGAAUCAGUAGAGGAGUAAUUUACAUAUGUAAGUGAAUAGGUCCAGGAGUCAUUUACUAACGUAAAUGAAUCAGUAGAGGAGUCAUUUACAUUACAUAUGUAAGUGAAUCAGUCCAGGAGUCAUUUACUAAUCUAAAUGAAUCAGUAGAGGAGUAAUUUACAUUACAGAUGUAAGUGAAUUAGUCCAGGAGUCAUUUACUAAUGUAAACAAAUCAGCUGAAGAGUCAUUUACAUUACAUAUGUAAGUGAAUCAGUCCAGGAGUCAUUUACUAACAUAAAUGAAUCAGUAGAGGAGUCUUUACCAUUAAAGAUUUAAGUGAAUCAGAGUUAAUUACAAAUGAAUUUAUCGACUCAGCUAAUGGUUAAACAUAAACCAGCUAACACAAUUUCAGGUUGGAGCU